GGGGGAAAUCUGCUGAGAAUAAGGGGAUAAGAGCUGGAGCUCGAUGUUUCCAGCAGAGUGAGGGACAUGGUGUAAUGUCUGUUUAUUUAAUGUCUGAAGUGAGUUACUUCCUGUUGUCACUUCUGCUAUAGCAGCUAUAAACACUCGUAACUCUCAUUCUGACUCUCUAACACUCGCUCUGACUCUCGCUCUGACUCUCACUCUGACUCUCUCUGACUCUCACUCUAACUCUCACUCUGACUCUCUAACACUCGCUCUGACUCUCACUCUGACUCUCACUCUGACUCUCGCUCUGACUCUCACUCUGACUCUCUCUGACUCUCACUCUAACUCUCACUCUGACUCUCUAACACUCGCUCUGACUCUCACUCUGACUCUCACUCUGACUCUCGCUCUGACUCUCACUCUGACUCUCUCUGACUCUCACUCUAACUCUCAUUCUGACUCUCUAACACUCGCUCUGACUCUCACUCUGACUCUCACUCUGACUCUCACUCUAACUCUCACUCUGACUCUCUAACACUCGCUCUGACUCUCACUCUGACUCUCACUCUGACUCUCACUCUGACUCUCGCUCUGACUCUCACUCUGACUCUCUCUGACUCUCACUCUGACUCUCUCUGACUCUCACUCUAACUCUCACUCUAACUCUCACUCUGACUCUCUAACACUCGCUCUGACUCUCACUCUGACUCUCGCUCUGACUCUGACUCUCACUCUGACUCUCUCUGACUCUCACUCUAACUCUCAUUCUGACUCUCUAACACUCGCUCUGACUCUCACUCUGACUCUCACUCUGACUCUCUCUGACUCUCACUCUAACUCUCACUCUGACUCUCUAACACUCGCUCUGACUCUCACUCUGACUCUCUCUGACUCUCACUCUAACUCUCACUCUGACUCCCUAACACUCGCUCUGACUCUCACUCUGAUUCUAACUCUUGCUCUGACUCUUGCUCUGACUCUCUCACUCUAACUCUCUCUCUAACUCCCACUCUAACUCUCACUCUGACUCUCACUCUAACUCUCGCUCUAACUCUCGCUCUAACUCUCACUCUGACUCUCUCUAACUCUCACUCUGACUCUCACUCUAACUCUUUCUCUAACUCUCACUCUAACUCUCACUCUGACUCUCACUCUGACUCUAACUCUUGCUCUGACUCUUGCUCUGACUCUCGCUCUGACUAACUCUCACUUUGACUCUCACUCCGACUCUCUCUCUAACUCUCGCUCUGACUCUCUCUCUCACUCUGACUCUUAUUCUGACUCUCGCUCUGACUUUCGCUCUGACUCUCGCUCUGACUCUCUCUCACUCUGACUCUCAUUCUGACUCUCGCUCUGACUCUUGCUCUGACUAUCUCUCUAACUCUCGCUCUGACUCUCUCACUCUAACUCACUCUAACACUCGCUCUGACUCUCUCUCUCUGACUCUCACUCUGACUCUCGCUCUGACUCUCUCGCACUCACUCUGACUCUAACUCUCUCUCUAACUCUCACUCUAACUCACUAACACUCGCUCUGACUCUCUCACUCUAACUCUAACACUCUCUCUGACUCUCGCUCUGACUCUCUCGCACUAACUCUCGCUCUGACUCUCUCACUCUGACUCUGACUCUCACUCUGACUCUCACUCUAACUCUCGCUCUGACUCUCUCACUCUAACUCUUGCUCUGACUCUCACUCUAACUCUUGCUCUGACUCUCUCACUCUAACUCUCGCUCUGACUCUCUAACUCUCACUCUGACACUCACUCUAACUCUUGCUCUGACUCUCUCUCUCUAACUCUCGCUCUGACUCUCUCACUCUAACACUCACUCUGACUCUCACUCUAACACUGACACUGGAGACUCCUUACACACACACACACACACACACUGAUACACAGCGCUGACACUGGAGACUCCUUACACACACACACACACACCUCUCCUACACACCAGUGAUUGCACAUGUUCUUUCCUCUGUGUAUCUCGUCAGUGGAGCGUCUCUGUUCUACACGUCCUUGUGAAUCUAUUUCGUUUGUCUUUUAUCUCAGCUUGCCGUCAGAAUCCUGCGGUUUCAGUCUCUCUGAUUCUCUAGAAAGAUCUGUGAUGUAACAGGAGGAACAUUUUGCUUGGAUGAUGAAGAACUUGUGGAAAAUGCGUUUUGGGACUCGUCCAGACGGAGAAGUAUGUUUCUAGGACGAGUGAUGAUGGAUGAGCGAGUCGAGGCGGCCGCCUUCUGCCUCCAGAUUCCUGAUUCAGAAUGAAAGGCUGUGGAUCUGAAAUGAUUCAGGAUGGAAUGAGUCAGGAUCCAUCUUCGGCAGAGUUGAAGAGUAGCUUCGGAGUAGCAGUGAGCUUCAGGGUAAACCUGACUGCCUCCACACUACUGACAGGAUGAAGAGAAUUUCCUUUUCUCAGACAUUUCAUCUCUGGGUUUUAAUUGGAUUCUCUCCUUAAUUAUAACCCGCAGCAACACGAGAGGAGUUUCUGAUCAAGAAAC